UUUUACUUUAACUGACAUCUGUCAUAAUUUACAUUCACAGAACUGAGACUACCAUACACCUAAGAAGUCAAAGUUGCUAUUCAAGGGGAAGUGCAAACACAAGAUGAGGGAAACUGAUGUAUUUAGUGUCUACAUUUUACAAAUGGAUGCUUUUCGUAAUAUGAAAAUACUGCACCAUAAGAUUGCCAGUCACAACAGCAUGGCUACAGUGAAAAGAUCCCAGUUGAUUUGUUAUGGUGAGAAAGCUUCACUUGGAGACAAAGCCAAAACCUUCCUCCCAGGCUCCCUUGGAUGUAGGGGGAAGCAAACCGGCUGUCCAGGCAUCUGAGCUGCAUCUACACACCUCAUGAGAGGGCCUGUGCAACAUUGCCUUAGAGAUGGAGAGCAUUGCUUCAGAAUCAGGGAAGCCUGAAUUUCACCCCUGGGGCUGCC
rnacentral:lncRNA from 1 species